GCUAGUGUAGCACAGUCGGUAGUGCAGCGCAUUCGUAAUGCGCAGGUCGCCCGUUCGAACCGGGUCACUAGCUCCA
rnacentral:tRNA from 1 species